GCCCGGAGGAGCAGAAGGGCCUGCAGGAGCUGAACGAGAAGAUCAGGUGCUGACCGCCAACAUUGACUACAUCACCGACAGCAUCGCCGACUGCCAGGCCACCAUCAUGCAGCUGGAGGAGACCAAGGGGUCUCUCUUGCACCGUAGGAGGAGCUGGACUCCACCGACACCUAAGUGGUGAUCAGCUCCUGCUCCUUGGCCGAGGCGCGCCUCCUGCUGGACAACUUCCUCAAGGCAUCCAUCGAUAAGAUUCUAAAGGAUUGGCAACAGCGUGAUUUGUGAGUAAGAUCUGAUUUGUAUAUUGACCUGGGUCUGGGGCUUGGCCCUUUGGGAUCAGGAGAACCUUUUUUCUUUUACUGCGGUAUUGCUUUUCAUAACCAUUUGUCCCCAUAACGAGUGGCACUGGUGGUAAUACUGGGAAACUGGAGUGUCUAAGGAGACCGCUUGUGAGACUUGCAGUUAGCCAGUGGGGUGAGACCAAAGUCCUCCUAGUCUGGCUGGUUUGGUUUGCCUUAGAGGUGGAAAAAGCCCAGCCUUGGGCUGUAACUGCCCUAUUUGAGCAAUUUGUCCUGAGUUGGCACUCUCAGUUGGGUUCCGCCAGAACCGCAUUGUCACAGGGGUACAAGCAGCAGCUGAGUGAGGCUGGUGUGGAACCUGCAUCUGUGCCCAGGGACAGGGACUGAAGCCAGGAGCUGAUUCCCCGUUCCACCCACUGGCCCGUCCUGUGUGCUGGACGGAAGGUAACCUCCUGCUCCCGCCAAACAGGGGCUGCAGGUGGCUCAGAAAGAAGCCCAGAUUCGCCUGCUGGAAGGGCGCCUGAGACAAAGGGAUGUGACCGGCUCCU